rnacentral:lncRNA from 1 species
CCUCAGGAUUUAGGGGGGCCCAGGGAGGGUCCUGGGGGUUCCAAGGCGGUGUUGGGGGGCUGGGGAGAGCUGGAGGGGUAGGGGGGGUCCCGGGGGGUUCCCAGGGGUCGUGGGGAGGGGGCAAGGGGGUGUGUGGAGCCUUGGGGGGCCCCUUCGGGAGUUGGGGGGGUCCCGGGGGUCCCAGAGUGUGUGGGGGGUCCAAGGGGUUUGGGAGGCCUUGGGAGGGCGCUCAGGAGCUGGGGGGCUCCUUGGCAGGGGUCCUGGAGAGGUCCAGGGGGGUGUUGGGGGGAGCCUGGGGGCAUAGGGGGUGCUGGGGGGGGGGGACAGGGGCUGGCGUUGGUUUGAGGAUGGGCCUGGGGGGGCACUCAGGAGCUGGGGAGGGAUCCGGGGGGGGGUCCAGGGGGCUGUUUGGGGUCCAUGGGGAGCCCAGGGCGUGGGGAGGGCCCUGAGAAGGGGUCGGGGGUGGGGUCCAGGGGGGUAUUGGGGGUGUGGGGGGAGCCCAGGGACUGGGGUGAUUCCGGAGGGGGGUCCCGGCGUGGGGUCUAAGGCAGCGCAGGGACUCCGGGGCGCCGUUAUGGUGCCGGGGGGACAUGGCGGUGCGGGGAGGGCCGGGCCGGGCUCCCCCUCCCCCCUUCGCCUCACCGCUCGCGCCUUUCGCUUUCGCUUCUCCCAACCUGCCUCGGUGGGAUCUGCCUGGCGCCCGGUGACGACCGAGACGGCGCCGGUCGCCAUUGGCGGGCGGCCCGAAGCGCAGCCAAUGGCCCCGCGGGGGCGCGGCGGGGUGGGGCGCGGCGCGGGGUAACGCGGCGCGCGCGGCCGAGUCGGAGCCGAGUGGUGGAGUUGGAGCCGGGGCGAGCGAUGGGGCCGGGGCCGAUACUGGCGCUGGUGCUGGUGCCGGCGCUGGCGGUGGCGCUGGUGCUGCUGCUGAGGAGCGGCGGGCCGAUGGCAAGCAAGGGGGACCCCUGGGCCACCCGAGGUGACGGGGCCCCGUUCUCUUCCAGAGCCCCAGAGCAACCUGCUGCCGAUCAACAACGGGGUAGUUGUCGCUGCGCUCGUCGUCGUUGCCGCCGUCGCCGGGUUUACGUUGCGGAAGAGGAGAUCGGGGAGGAGGGAGAAGGGGUACAAGCCGGCCACAGCCCACGACGGGGAAUCCAGCAGUUCCGGAACAGAGAGCAACCCCGACACUUAAGCAYURAGGCAUUGAACWUGACUCARUGGGAUGUUCAAAAUGCUCCAUGACAGCCCAUAGGACUAUCACCAGCAGAAAUUCUCUUUGGGAGACAUUCAGCCAUUCCAGGGACCUAUACCCCAGCUAAGACCAACCUGUUGGAUGGGGGAUGAACGGCUGACCCG